GGCUCACCGCAGUACCUGGCCACGCUCACACUCGGCUCAUCUUCCCAGGAAGACUUAGCCCUCCGGGCAGCACUGCCGCAGCCUCCUUCAGCCAAAGUCAGGAGGAGCCGGACGCUCACCGCAAAUCCCACUGAGUCGGCCUGCUUCCUCCGCCCUCCACGCGCCACAGCACUUCCCCUGCAAGCACCGUGUUCAUGUGACCAUCACCACUACCUGUUCCUGCUUCAGCACCCUUCCUGCACAUGAGGAGCAAUUGCCCUGUCUCCUUGUGAUCCUCCUGGCUGCAAGCAAAGCUUUCGCAGACUUUCCUAGCUCAGUUCUGAUCUUGACAUUUUGAAGAGAACUCAUUCCUAUGUGGGGACUUACUGUAAUUUGUUCUGAUUUGCUGUACAGUACAGUGCUGUAGUUUUAUGUUCUGUCAUACAUUAGGGUACUGCAUGUAAAAGUGAUGCAAAUAAAAGCAAAG
rnacentral:lncRNA from 1 species